AUUUUGAUGGUGCUCCUUUCUACAAGGUUUAGAGCACUAGUAGAGAAUUGGCUUUCGAUGCGCCCCCUUUUGUCCCAGUUUAAAGUUGGCCCGGGAUAAAAGGGGGUGCGCCACGGUAGGCAAAAAUGGAGGGGAGAGUUAGUCCCGGUUGGUAAUUGCAACCGGGACUAAAGGCCCCCAUUUAGUCCCGGUUGCAACGGCUAGUGGAGGGCUAUCGGUGGCGGCACCCUUUUUAU
rnacentral:lncRNA from 1 species